UUUUUUUGGAGACGGAGUCUCGCUCUGUCACCCAGGCUGGAGUGCAGUGGUGUGAUCUUGGCUCACUGCAACCUCCGCCUCCCGGGUUCAAGCGAUUCUCCUGCCUCAGCCUCCUGAGUAGCUGGGAUUACAGGCUUACACCACCACGCCCAGCUAAUUAGUAGAAACGAGGUUUCACCAUGUCGGUCAGGCUGGUCUUGAACUCCUGACCUCGUGAUCCACCCACCUCGGCCUCCCAAAGUGCUGGGAUUACAGGUGUGAGCCACUGCACCCAGCCAACAUGAUUCUUUUCAAUUAAGAUAAUUUAUUAAAUUCACCGGGAAAUAGAGCUAAAUUUUAAUACUUUGUGAGCCUUUUAUUGUGUAAAUUCACACAUUUUGGCAAUGAUGUUGGUUACACCACUUGGCCCAGAUCGGAUUCAGAAAAUAGAGCCCUUCUCCCUGUCCCCUGCACACAUACAUGAGGAGUUGAAUACAUCCAUUCCGUAGGCUCUGUCAUCUUUCUGAUGUCUGCUCUCUCCCAGUCAGCAGCAGCAUCUGGAAUCAUGGCUCCUGGGAUCAUGCAUGAACUUUGGGUGCAGAGAAUCAAGCUUGAGUUCAAAUUCUGCUUUCUGUCUUCUUAGCUGUGUGACCUCAGGACCUUUGCACUUGCUGUCUGCGUAGUCACCCUUUCUACCGCUGGCUCCUUCUCAGCUUAAAUAUCAACUCCAACAGGCCUGUCCAGGCCACUUCCCAUAUGGCCUCUACUCUCUCACACUAGCCCACUUGGGUCCCUUCGUAAUUACCUCCAUGUGCUUUGUUUGCUUCCGUGUUUUCUUUUUUUAUUCUUUUUUUUUUUUUUUUGAGACUGAGUCUUAUUCUGUUGCCCGGGCUGGAGUGCAGUGGCGCAAUUUUGGCUCACUGCAA
rnacentral:lncRNA from 1 species